UACAGAAAGAAAACGUUCAACUGACUGCACGUUAUCAUUUAUUUUAUGUGGAUAAGUCUCGAUAUAUAAAAACAAUGCAUGUUCUGAUUUUAAAACAAAUACGAUAGUAAACAAACCUGAUCGCCUUCAGUGUGUUUUAACUGCAGUGGCAGCAAAAUGACACUAUAUCCCAAAAUCCUUUGCGUUGUCCUACGCUUACGUCACUUGUGCGACGAAAAUCUGAAGCUAAACAAACCAAACCCGGUGUUUUUAACGUAAUUCUAUAAUGGAGUUGGAACAAGCAAAUGAAGACUCUACUGCAGCCCAGCCAACACCCACACCUCCGUCUCAGUCUAAGAAGCCAGGCCAAGUCCCCAAGCAACGACUCCCUGGAGCCAAAGAUAAGGCACAGGCUCAGGGAGGUGAAGUAAAACCAAGACCCAGGCCCCGCUACACAGACAAGGCAAGGAAAAACGCCAAGAAUAAGAAGGACAAGGCUGGAGCAGAUAAGGGAGCUCCUGUCCAGGGAGAAGGUGAAGGAGAGGCACAGAAUGGUGAUCCUGAUGCAGAGAAGCUACAGGAUACAGAUGUGGAGGUAAAUGGGCAGCUUGACUCAACCAAUGUGGAGGCCGAACUUAACUCACGGCUGGAAGCAGCGGCCAUUGAAGAAGAGGAAGAGGAGGAAGGGGAGGAGGAGAGUUGGGACACCUUGUUCAAUGAUGAAGGAGAUUGUCUGGAUCCGCAUCUUUCAGAAGAGCUGGCAGUGAAGGAAGGUAGAAAGAAGAAGUCCGUCCAGGAGGCCAGGUUUGAUUACUACAACAUGGACAAAGAUGCCGAAGACGACAUCGACCUCACAGAGGACGAACUUGCUCACAUUGUAGAGAUCUACGAGUUCCCUGCUGAGUUUCGGACGGAGGACCUUCUCAAGUUAUUUCAGGCCUACCAACAAAGAGGUUUUGAAAUCAAGUGGAUUGAUGAAUCAAGUGCUCUUGGCCUCUUCUCAAGCCCUAUAGCAGCUGGUGAAGCUUUAAGAACCAAACAUCCAUUGAUGAAGUUGCGACCUCUCUCCAAAUGCUCCCCUGCCAUAAAAGCCAAAGCUCGUAGCUGCUCAGACUACCUCCUGCCUGCUAAAGAGAGACCUCAGACAAGUGCGGCACUGGCGCGAAGGCUUGUGAUCGGUGCCCUUGGUGUUAAGAGCAACCUGACCGAUGAGAAGCGCGAGGCGGAGAGGAAGAAGCUCCAGGAGGCCAAAGAAAGUGGGCUGGCUGCAACUUUGCCAGGAAGUGACGCAGCGCUGCUGUCAUCUAUAGUAGACUAGAUGAUCCUCAUCCUGGGAGGGCUGUCGGUAACGUGAAAAAUAGGUUUAAUAUAACAAAAGCGCCUGGCAGCCAAGCAGAAGGAAGAUGCCUGGGAGGGGAAGUGAUUGGAUGGAAAACUACUGUUUUAUUUUUGUUUUGUUUUUGAUUCCUUGAUACAGCAGGGAGUUAAGUCUUCUCUGUUUCUUCUCCGGCUCUGUUUUCGUCAACUGGCAACUCCUUCCCACCACCACACUUUCCAGAAAUGGAUUCCCACCAUUUUUUUGUUCUUUCUGCCUUUAGUCCUUUAAAAAACCAAACAUCUCAUCAUCCUCUAUCCGUUUGCCUGCAGUGUUACAUCAGCCUUUAUGUUCAUUCUUUGUUCAUGCUGGGACAGUUGCCUCAGUGCCAUGGCCGGGGCUACCACAAAUAACACCUUUUUUUUCAUCAUAUUUCUUUACAUUGUAACCAAAGUCUGUAGUGAACCAUCAAGUCUAAUUCAAUUUAAUAAUGUUUGUUUUAAUAUAGAGUUAUGGUAAUUUUUUUUUAAAGAUGAACCAAGUAAAUUAACUUGAACUUGUAAAUGUGAGGGAAACAAAUGCAGUUUAAAGAUCCUGUAAUAAUAAAGUGAAAGUAGACAACA